ACCAAACUCUGGCAAGAGUGUGGGCUUGGUCGCCCGGAUUCCGGGUGACCAAGCCCACACUCUUGCCAGAGUUUGGUGGG
rnacentral:pre_miRNA from 1 species